GUAGUGACAAGAAAUAACAAUACAGGGCUUAAAGUCUUGUAAUUGGAAUGAUGGGAAUCUAAACCCUUCCCAGAGUAUCAAUUGGAGGGCAAGUCUGGUGCCAGCAGCCGCGGUAAUUCCAGCUCCAAUAGCGUAUAUUAAAGUUGUUGCAGUUAAGAAGCUCGUAGUUGAAUUUCUGCCUUGUCAUUAAUCUCGCUUCCGAGCGUUUUUUUAUUGGCUUGGCAUCUUCUGGAUUUGGUGCCUUCGGGUACUAUUUUCCAGGAUUUACUUUGAGAAAACUAGAGUGUUUCAAACAGGCAUUCGCCUUGAAUACUACAGCAUGGAAUAAUGAAGUAGGACUUUGGUUCUAUUUUGUUGGUUAUUGAGCCAGAGUAAUGGUUAAUAGGAGCAGUUGGGGGCAUUCGUAUUUAACUGUCAGAGGUG
rnacentral:rRNA from 1 species